AGCUCCAGUGGCGUAUAUUAAUGCUGCUGCAGUUAAAAAGCUCGUAGUUGGAUCUAGGGCUCAUGGUCACGGUCCCUCGCAAGGGGUGCACUGUUUCUUCAUAGCCUCCCUCGCGGCUUGCGCCCGGUUCUCUUAACUGAGUGCCGGGUGCGGCCGGAACGUUUACUUUGAAAAAAUUGGAGUGUUCAAAGCAGGCGCAACAGCCUGAACAGCAGAGCAUGGAAUAAUGGAAUAGGACCUCGGUUCUAUUGCGUUGGUUUUAGGAGUCCGAGGUAAUGAUUGAGAGGGACUGACGGGGGCAUUCGUAUUGCGGUGUGAGAGGUGAAAUUCUUGGAUCGCCGCAAGACGACCGACAGCGAAAGCAUUUGCCAAGAAUGUCUUCAUUAAUCAAGAACGAAAG
rnacentral:rRNA from 1 species